GAUGAAGAACGCAGUGAAAUGCGAUAAGUAAUGCAAUUGCAGAUUUCAGUGAGUCAUCGAAUCUUUGAACGCACAUUGCGCCCGCCAGUAUUCUGGCGGGCAUGCCUGUUCGAGCGUCAUUUCAACCAUCAAGCCCCCGGGCUUGCGUUGGGGCCCUGCGGCUGCCGCAGGCCCCGAAAAGCAGUGGCGGGCUCGCUGUCACACCGAGCGCAGUAGCGAUUCUCGCUCCGGGCGUCGGCGGCGGGCACCGGCCGUGAAACCCCCCCACAUCCACAAGGUUGACCUCGGAUCAGGUAGGAAUACCCGCUGAACUUAAGCAUAUCAAUAAGCGGAGGA
rnacentral:misc_RNA from 1 species